UACAGAGGUGCCGAGCGUUAGGCGGAAUCACUGGGCUUAAAGCGUGUGUAGGCGGGCCGUUAAGUAUCUUGUGAAAUCCCCCCGGCUCAACCGGGGAAGUGCUGGAUAUACUGGCGGUCUUGAGCGAUCUAGGGGCAGAUGGAACAAGUGGUGGAGCGGUGAAAUGCGUAGAUAUCACUUGGAACGCCAAAGGUGAAAACAGUCUGCUGGGGAUCUGCUGACGCUGAGACACGAAAGCCAGGGGAGCGAACGGG
rnacentral:rRNA from 1 species